rnacentral:rRNA from 1 species
AGAGUUUGAUUCUGGCUCAGAAUGAACGCUGGCAGCGUGGAUUAGGCAUGCAAGUCGAACGGAAAAUCUCGAGAUCAAUUCUUCGGAAAAGUGAUUGAGAUGGAUAGUGGCGAAAGGGUGAGGAACACGUGGGCAAUCUACCUCUUAGUUGGGGACAACCUUGGGAAACUGGGGCUAAUACCGGAUGUGGUAUUCUAUCGCAUGGUAGAUUUAUUAAAGGUGGGGAAUCUUCGGAUCCUGCCGCUAAGAGAGGAGCCCGCGUCCCAUCAGCUUGUUGGUGAGGUAAUGGCUCACCAAGGCUUACGGGUAGCUGGUCUGAGAGGAUGGUCAGCCACACUGGGACUGAGACACUGCCCAGACUCCUACGGGAGGCUGCAGUCGAGAAUCAUUCGCAAUGCACGAAAGUGUGACGAUGCGACGCUGCGUGUAGGGUGACGGCCUUAGGGUUGUAAACUACUGUCAUUUGGGAAAAAUUCUCCGUGUAGUAAUAUUACAUGGAGUUGAUGGUACCAAAAGAGGAAGCCACGGCUAACUCUGUGCCAGCAGCCGCGGUAAUACAGAGGUGGCGAGCGUUGUUCGGAUUUACUGGGCGUAAAGGGUGCGUAGGUGGUUAUGUAUGUCGGAUGUGAAAGCCCAUGGCUCAACCAUGGAAUUGCAUUCGAAACUGCAAAACUUGAGUGUAGGAGAGGAGAGCGGAAUUCUUGGUGUAGCGGUGAAAUGCGUUGAUAUCAAGAAGAACACCGGCGGCGAAGGCGGCUCUCUGGAAUACAACUGACACUGAGGCACGAAAGCUGGGGGAGCGAACAGGAUUAGAUACCCUGGUAGUCCCAGCCGUAAACGGUGCACACUUGGUGUGGGAGGAAUUGACCCCUUCCGUGCCGGAGCUAACGCGUUAAGUGUGCCGCCUGGGGAGUACGGCCGCAAGGCUAAAACUCAAAGAAAUUGACGGGGGCCCGCACAAGCGGAGGAGCAUGUGGCUUAAUUCGAUGCAACGCGAAGAACCUUACCAGGGCUUGACAUAUACCUGCACGCCCCGUGAAAGCGGGGUUUCCUUCGAGGGUGGUAUACAGGUGCUGCAUGGCUGUCGUCAGUCCGUGCCGUGAGGUGUUUGGUUAAGUCCAGUAACGAACGCAACCCUUGUGUUUAGUUGCCACUCUUGGUGUUAAGCUAGGAAGCACUCUAAACAGACUGCCCGUGCAAGCGGGAGGAAGGUGGGGAUGACGUCAAGUCAGUAUGGCCCUUACGCCCUGGGCUGCACACGUGCUACAAUGACAGGUACAAUGGGACGCUAUACCGCGAGGUUGAGCAAAUCCUCAAAACCUGCCUCAGUUCGGAUUGGAGUCUGCAACUCGACUCCAUGAAGUUGGAUUCGCUAGUAAUGCCGUAUCAGCUACGACGGCGUGAAUACGUUCCCGGGCCUUGUACACACCGCCCGUCACAUCAUGAAAGCCGUCUGCACCCGAAGUCGCUGAGCCAAUCUUUCACGAGAAGGCAGGUGCCGAAGGUGUGGGUGGUGAUUGGGAUGAAGUCGUAACAAGGUA